GGGAAAAGAGAAAGUAAACGAAUAGCCGUGGAUAUCUAGUCGUCGACCACUUCCGAGAUUUUGGUUCGUUAGCUAUCGGACUCGGGAUUAUUGAAGUCGAAGUCGUCCACACUAUCAAAGCCCUCUUGGUACACUUUUGGUUGAACUCUGAAAAUGGCAUGUAUAGGACUACCCCUUUUUGUUGUGGGUCAUGGACCCUUUGAAAUUGUAUAAUUUUGGAUAGCCAUGCGAAAAUGGCUUAUAUAUGUUUUUAGCAUAAUGUUAUAAUCUUUUGGUA